rnacentral:rRNA from 1 species
UACGGAGGGGGCUAGCGUUGUUCGGAAUUACUGGGCGUAAAGCGCACGUAGGCGGCUUCGCAAGUCAGAGGUGAAAGCCCGGGGCUCAACCCCGGAACUGCCUUUGAGACUGCGUCGCUCGAAUCCGGGAGAGGCGGGUGGAAUUCCGAGUGUAGAGGUGAAAUUCGUAGAUAUUCGGAAGAACACCAGUGGCGAAGGCGGCUCACUGGACCGGUAUUGACGCUGAGGCUCGAAAGCAUGGGUAGCGAACAGG